CAGUGCAAAGUCCCCAUUCUUUGUGUUCAAAACCAAGGCUGCAGUGAAGUUGGGAUGCAACAAGGGCAAAUUCUGCCAGAAACACCUUGGAUUCAUUAUGUGUUUGAUUUUUAAUUGAUUUUUGUUCAGAAACCUUUCGCUGUUGCCAAAGAACGGCUGAUCUAUACCUUGAAGGAAGAUAGAGAUUCUAGAAGGAGGACAGAGAUGCCUGGAGGAGCAAAUUCCAUGCCUGGGGCAGGGAGCAGUCCAUUUAAAGGCUGUUCACAGGCUGUUUGGUACCGUGCUUGCUGGCAAAGUUCUUUGACCCUCUCGUAUUUGGGUCCAGCAGUUUGAGGACUGACUUGCCAUCCACAUCGGGAGGAGUGUCGAGCCCAGCAAUAUCCAGGAUGGUGGGAGCCAGGUCAAUGUUCAGCACAAUCUGAGACACUCUGCAAGGGAACAGUUAGAUGAGAAAGCCAUUCACCUCCCAUCAAGAGGGCAUACAAUUUAGGGUGCUUUUCUAGAAGCACAGAAGAAGCAGUAUUAGCAGUUUAAGGUUUAUAUAGCACUUUACUUCAGAGGCAUAAAAUUCCUAAUUGAUUGAAUCCAGAGCCUGAAUAAAAUGCAAUUGGGAAAUAUUUUACAAAAUAAAUAAAAAGACAGUAUGACAUAAUAAUGGUAAUUUUUUAGUAAAAAUAAUGGUAGUUUGUUGUUUUCUAAGUCACUAUGCAGCCUGCAGAGAUUAGUUUGUAUCUGAGGUCAACACCACUACUUUACACAUAUUCUCUCAUUUGGUCCUUACAACAACCAUGUGAAGUCAUGAAGGAUUGACUUUUAUCUAUCCAUUAGGCUCUUUAUUUUUUUGACCCCAUUAUGACCAAUGAGAUAUAUUUAUGAAGCAUUUGGCUAGGGUGAGGAUUGAACUCUGUAACUGUGGAACAGAGCAAAGCUAACUGACCCAUAAAGGGAUCAAAACUGGAGAUCAUGGCCUCAUUAACACCAUUGUCUAAUGGAGUUAGCAGCCUAGACAAGGUCAAGCAUAUGGCCUUCACAGGUUGUGCACUGGCUUCCCAAAAUUCUUUGGGUCAAAGGCUUUUCCUACAGACCUAGGGUUUUCAAAAUGGAGCUGCCAGAUUCUGUCAAAAGGCGACUAAAGACUUUCAAAGUUGAAUAUUAUCUUCUCCUACCCUAUCUCUCAAACAGAUUUUCUAAGAUUCACUUUUAAGAAAAACCAGGGUGCUUACAAUUGUUUCAGGACAUACCUCCAUAUUCUCAAAACACAAACCAUUGAAAUCCACAACUCUUAAGGGAUGCAGCAUGAUAUAGUAGAAUGGGCAUUAGAUUUGGUGUCACAAGACCAUUCUAUGCCUUUAUUCAUUCAUCCUAGCUGUGUUUACUGUGUGAUUUGGACAAGCCAUCAAACUUCUCUGGGCUUUAGUUCUCUCAGCUCUUAAAUGAGGGGGUUUGACUAGAUAGCUCAUCUGAGUCCUCUUGAGUCACUUCUUCAUUAGUCUAGAGCUGAUUAUUUCAUGAUUUGCAAAAUGAGGGGACUAUAUUGGAUUUCCUGUGGUGCUUUCUUCAGCUCAUUUUAUAGAUGGAGAGAUGGGGACAGAGACACUUAUGGCUCACUCAAGGUUAUAUAUCUAGUCAAUGGAAAGGAUAGAAUUUAAGUACAUACUAGGUGCUUAAUAAAUAUUUACUAACUGACAACUUAAGGCCAUGUCUUCUGUUUUCUAUUCACUGAUUAUUUCCAUUAGACUGCACUGUGUUGUUCAAAUAAUACACACACACACACACACACACACACACACGCACACACACACACAUAUAACCCUAGACUUCAAGAAAUUGGGAAAAGGCUAAUGUGAAAUCAAGCAAGUGAGAGGUUGUUGCUACUUAAAUACAGUCAUGAAUCCUUCUAAAGAAUCUUUUCCCUUCCAAAUUCUUUAUUUACCUACGAGACCAAAGGUGUGAGUUCUUAUUAUGCAAAGAUGGACUAUUAAUAAUAUUUUUUUCUCUGUCUUUGAGUUAUUUUGAAUGACAGUAAAAAAAACCCAAACCUUUAUUCCUAUCUUUUAUGUUAUUCAAU